UAAUAAAAGAAAAAAAGAAAAAAAAUUAUGCUGAGCACAUUCUAGAACGCUCAGAAUUGAGAUUUGAGCUUCAUUUCUCACUGUCGGCCUCUAUCUACAAUAUUCCUGCGACCGUAAAACUACUUCUCUCUAGAAUUUUCCUCAAUCAAAGCCUUUAAUCUAUACUACUUCUUCUUCCAUAGAAGUAUAGAGAUCUGUAACUAAAUGGUUGAUUUAGUCAAGAAUCUGGCAAGUGUUCAUCGAUCUUAGCCUGACAUAGGUAUAGACUUCGACCAACACUGUUUCUUUUUCACGUUUCUAGUUCGACACCGGGUAUUUCCCAGCGAAAUUGAACGGUGGCUCAUAUGGGUAGACUCAGAGAUGGAGUACCUACUCGAGGAAAGAUAUCCUCAAAAAAUAUGGCAAUACUGGAGACGGCUGGAAUUAGACUGUCUGGGUAGAGCCACAAAGAGUGGAUACAUACAAUGAACACCUUCUUUGGGUGUUACAACAUAGUUCCGCACACAACGCAAGCUAAUCGCCUUUGCUGACUGCUGAAGAUGAAGCUGCACACCAACAAUGAAUUGCCCAUACAUGG